GACGAACGCUGGCGGCGUGCUUAACACAUGCAAGUCGAACGGAAAGGCCCUGCUUUUGUGGGGUGCUCGAGUGGCGAACGGGUGAGUAACACGUGAGUAACCUGCCCUUGACUUUGGGAUAACUUCAGGAAACUGGGGCUAAUACCGGAUAGGAGCUCCUGCUGCAUGGUGGGGUUGGAAAGUUUCGGCGGUUGGGGAUGGACUCGCGGCUUAUCAGCUUGUUGGUGGGGUAGUGGCUUACCAAGGCUUUGACGGGUAGCCGGCCUGAGAGGGUGACCGGCCACAUUGGGACUGAGAUACGGCCCAGACUCCUACGGGAGGCAGCAGUAGGGAAUAUUGCACAAUGGGCGGAAGCCUGAUGCAGCAACGCCGCGUGCGGGAUGACGGCCUUCGGGUUGUAAACCGCUUUCGCCUGUGACGAAGCGUGAGUGACGGUAAUGGGUAAAGAAGCACCGGCUAACUACGUG
rnacentral:rRNA from 1 species